AGCCAUCAUUUAAAGAAAGCGUAACAGCUCACUGGUCUAAUUAAGCUGUCUUGCGGCGAAGAUGUACCGGGGCUAAAGACAUGUACCGAAGCUGUGGAUGUGCACUUUGUGCACGUGGUAGCGGAGCGUUCCGUAAGCCGUUGAAGGUGUGGCGUGAGCCAUGCUGGAGGUAUCGGAAGUGAGAAUGCUGACAUGAGUAGCGAUAAAGAGUGUGAGAGACACUCUCGCCGAAAACCCAAGGGUUCCUGCGCAAGGCUAAUCCGCGCAGGGUGAGUCGGCCCCUAAGGCGAGGCUGAAAAGCGUAGUCGAUGGGAAACAGGUUA
rnacentral:rRNA from 1 species